UACGAAGGGGGCUAGCGUUGUCCGGAUUUAUUGGGCGUAAAGAGCGUGUAGGCGGCCAGGUAGGUCUGCUGUGAAAACUCGAGGCUCAACCUCGAGAUGUCGGCGGAAACCAUCUGGCUAGAGUCCGGAAGAGGAGAGUGGAAUUCCUGGUGUAGCGGUGAAAUGCGCAGAUAUCAGGAAGAACACCCGUGGCGAAGGCGGCUCUCUGGGACGGUACUGACGCUGAGACGCGAAAGCGUGGGGAGCGAACAGG
rnacentral:rRNA from 1 species